UGGGGGAUAUUGCACAAUGGGCGAAAGCCUGAUGCAGCGACGCCGCGUGGGGGAUGAAGGCCUUCGGGUUGUAAACUUCUUUUGCUCUGAACAAGGCGCACCAUGGGGUGUGUUGAGUGUAGGGGUUGAUUAGCGCCGGCUAACUACGUGCCAGCAGCCGCGGUAUUACGUAGGGCGCGAGCGUUGUCCGGAAUUAUUGGGCGUAAAGGGCUUGUAGGUGGCUGGUUGCGUCUGUCGUGAAAGCUCAUGGCUUAACUGUGGGUUUGCGGUGGGUACGGGCUGGCUUGAGUGCAGUAGGGGAGGCUGGAAUUCCUGGUGUAGCGGUGGAAUGCGCAGAUAUCAGGAGGAAUACCGGUGGCGAAGGCGGGUCUCUGGGCUGUUACUGACACUGAGGAGCGAAAGCAUGGGGAGCGAACAGG
rnacentral:rRNA from 1 species